ACAUGUGAUAUUUUGAUACAUGCAUAUAAUGUGUAAUGAUCAAGUCAGGGUGUUUAAAAUAUCCAUCACUUCGAAUAUUUAUCAUUUUUUUGUGUUGGGAACAUUUCAAAUCUUCUCUGGUAGAUGUUUUGAAAUAGACAAUAAGUUAUUAGUAACUAUAGUCACCCCACUGUGCUAUCAAACGCUAGAACUUAUUCCUUCUCUCUAACUGUAUGUUUUUAUCCAUUAACCAACCUCUUUUCAUACCUCUACCUUUUCCCAGCCUCUGGUAACCAUCAUUCUAAUCUCUACCUCCAUGAGAUCAACUUUUAGUUCCCACAUAUGCAGUGAGAACAUGCAAUAACUGUCUUUCUGUGCCUGGUUUAUUUCUCUUAACAUAAUGUCCUCCAGUUCCAUCCGAGUUACUGCAAAUUACAUGCUUAGACUCCGUCUCAAAAAAAAAAAAAUACAUUAAAACCCUUUGUUGGAAUGCUUUACACUUUCCGCAGAACAGAAACUAAAAUAACCUGUUAUACAAUUAGUCACAAAUACAGUCCUCCUCAAGUUUUUUUGCCCAUACACUUGAGUAUUUGUCUCAAACAUGUCUUCUUUAUAGUAGCUAGGCCCUGCCACCACUGUGCUUGGCUGAGUUCACAAAUCUUUUGUAACCUGUAGCUUCCCUGUCACUUCCCUGGCUCUCCUCUCCUGCUAAGAUUUGUUUCCUGGCAGUAAUUAAAAUCUUCCGCCACUGCCAUAGGUCUGCUGCUACUGGAACCACCGUAGCCACCUUGGUUUCAUGGUUUGGCAAAGUAUUGGCAUCCACCACCAUAGGGGCCAGAGUUUCUGCCUCCAAAGUCUCCUGCCUUCAUGGGUCCAAAAUUUGAAGAUUGAUUGUUGUAACUGCUAAAAUCA
rnacentral:lncRNA from 1 species